rnacentral:rRNA from 1 species
ACACGAAAGCGUGGGUAGCAAACAGGAUUAGAUACCCUGGUAGUCCACGCCCUAAACGAUGCAUAUUUGGUGUGGGCCAUUCACUUGGUCCGUGCCGGAGCUAACGCGUUAAAUAUGCCGCCUGGGGAGUACAGUCGCAAGGCUGAAACUCAAAGGAAUUGACGGGGGCCCGCACAAGCGGUGGAGCAUGUGGUUCAAUUCGACGCAACGCGAAGAACCUUACCUGGGCUCGAAAUGCUUAAGAUCAUCUUUGGAAACAGAGACUUCCCGCAAGGGACUUGAGUAUAGGUGCUGCAUGGCUGUCGUCAGCUCGUGUCGUGAGAUGUUGGGUUAAGUCCCGCAACGAGCGCAACCCUUGUCCUGUGUUGCCAUACCGAAAGGUGGAACUCGCAGGAGACCGCCAGGGAUAACCUGGAGGAAGGUGGGGAUGACGUCAAGUCCUCAUGGCCUUUAUGUCCAGGGCUACACACGUGCUACAAUGGACGGUACAAAGCGCUGCCAACCCGCAAGGGGGAGCCAAUCGCAAAAAACCGUUCUCAGUUCGGAUUGCAGGCUGCAACUCGCCUGCAUGGAGCUGGAAUCGCUAGUAAUGCCGUAUCAGAACGAUGGCGUGAAUACGUUCCCGGGCCUUGUACACACCGCCCGUCACAUCACGAAAGUGGAUUGUACUAGAAGUCUGCAGGCUGACCCGCAAGGGAGUCAGCGGCCCAAGGUAUGAUUCAUGAUUGGGGUGAAGUCGUAACAAGGUACCAAUCCCGCGGC